UCUGCCUGGUAGUGGGGGACGAACGUUUCGAAAGGAACGCUAAUACCGCAUACGUCUACGGGAGAAAGCAGGGACCUUCGGGCCUUGCGCUAUCAGAUGAGCCUAGGUCGGAUUAGCUAGUUGGUGAGGUAAUGGCUCACCAAGGCGACGAUCCGUAACUGGUCUGAGAGGAUGAUCAGUCACACUGGAACUGAGACACGGUCCAGACUCCUACGGGAGGCAGCAGUA
rnacentral:rRNA from 1 species